CUAUCAACCUGAUGGUAGUCUAUUAGUCUACCAUGGUUAUUACGGGUAACGGAGAAUAAGGGUUCGACUCCGGAGAGGGAGCCUUAGAAACGGCUACCACAUCCAAGGAAGGCAGCAGGCGCGAAACUUAUCCAAUCUUGAAUAGAUGAGAUAGUGACUAAAAAUAAAAAGACCAUUCCUAUGGAACGGUCAUUUCAAUGAGUUGAUCAUAAACCUUUUUUCGAGGAUCAAGUGGAGGGCAAGUCUGGUGCCAGCAGCCGCGGUAAUUCCAGCUCCACUAGUGUAAAUCGUCAUUGCUGCGGUUAAAAAGCUCGUAGUUGGAUCUGAGUCGCAUGCAGUAGUUCGCCUUUGGCGUUAAUUAUUGUUGUGACUAUUUGCUGGUUUUCUAUUGAAAUCUCGAUUUCUUUAGUGGCUAGCGAGUUUACUUUGAAUAAAUUAGAGUGCUCAGAACAAGCGUUUGCUUGAAUGAUCGAUCAUGGAAUAAUAAAAGA
rnacentral:rRNA from 1 species